GAGUUUGAUCAUGGCUCAGGACGAACGCUGGCGGCGUGCCUAACACAUGCAAGUCGAACGCUGUCCAUUCGGUGGCAACACUGAUGAAGACGGAGUGGCGAACGGGUGAGUAGCACGUGAGCAACCUGCCCCGAAGACCGGGACAACACCGGGAAACCGGUGCUAAUACCGGAUGCCCCCACCGGGCCGCAUGACCUGGUGAGGAAAUGGAUUCCGCUUCGGGAGGGGCUCGCGGCCUAUCAGCUAGUUGGUGGGGUAAUGGCCUACCAAGGCGUCGACGGGUAGCUGGUCUGAGAGGACGAUCAGCCACACUGGGACUGAGACACGGCCCAGACUCCUACGGGAGGCAGCAGUGGGGAAUCUUGCGCAAUGGGCGAAAGCCUGACGCAGCAACGCCGCGUGGGGGACGAAGGCUUUCUGAGUUGUAAACCCCUUUCAGCAGGAACGAUAGUGACGGUACCUGCAGAAGAAGCACCGGCCAACUACGUGCCAGCAGCCGCGGUGAUACGUAGGGUGCAAGCGUUGUCCGGGUUUAUUGGGCGUAAAGAGCUCGUAGGCGGUUUGAUAAGUCGGAUGUGAAACCCCAGGCUUAA
rnacentral:rRNA from 1 species